rnacentral:rRNA from 1 species
UACAGAGACUGCAAGCGUUAUUCGGAUUCACUGGGCGUAAAGGGUGCGCAGGCGGCCAAGUGUGUGAGGCGUGAAAGCCCGGGGCUUAACCCCGGAAUUGCACCUCAAACUACAUGGCUAGAGCAUUGGAGAGGGUAGCGGAAUUCACGGUGUAGCAGUGAAAUGCGCAGAUAUCGUGAGGAACACCAGAGGCGAAGGCGGCUACCUGGACAAUUGCUGACGCUCAGGCACGAAAGCGUGGGGAGCGAACAGG